rnacentral:rRNA from 1 species
GUGCCAGCAGCCGCGGUAAUACGUAGGGCGCAAGCGUUGUCCGGAUUUAUUGGGUUUAAAGGGUGCGUAGGCGGCUUUUUAAGUCAGCGGUGAAAUACUUCAGCUCAACUGGAGUCGUGCCGUUGAUACUGGGAAGCUUGAGUACUGAUGAAGUGGGCGGAAUUGAAGGUGUAGCGGUGAAAUGCAUAGAUAUCGUCAAGAACACCGAUAGCGAAGGCAGCUUACUGGGCUGUAACUGACGCUGAGGCACGAAAGUGUGGGGAUCAAACAGGAUUAGAUACCCUAGUAGUCC